UUAAAGGAAUUGACGGGGGCCCGCACAAGCGGUGGAGCAUGUGGUUUAAUUCGAUGCAACGCGAAGAACCUUACCUGGGCUUGACAUCCCGGGAAUCCCCUGGAAACAGGGGAGUGCCCUUCGGGGAACCCGGUGACAGGUGCUGCAUGGCUGUCGUCAGCUCGUGUCGUGAGAUGUUGGGUUAAGUCCCGCAACGAGCGCAACCCUUGUCUUUAAUUGCCAUCAUUCAGUUGGGCACUUUAGAGAGACUGCCGGUGACAAGCCGGAGGAAGGUGGGGAUGACGUCAAGUCCUCAUGGCCCUUAUAGGUGGGGCUACACACGUCAUACAAUGGCUGGUACAAAGGGUUGCCAACCCGCGAGGGGGAGCUAAUCCCAUAAAGCCAGUCGUAGUCCGGAUCGUAGUCUGCAACUCGACUACGUGAAGUCGGAAUCGCUAGUAAUCGUGGAUCAGAAUGUCACGGUGAAUACGUUCCCGGGUCUU
rnacentral:rRNA from 1 species